UACAGAGGGUGCGAACGUUGCUCGGAAUUACUGGGCGUAAAGCGCACGUAGGCGGAUCGAUCAGUCAGGGGUGAAAUCCCAGGGCUCAACCUCGGAACUGCCUUUGAUACUGCAAAUCUCGAGUCCGGAAGAGGUGAGUGGAAUUCCUAGUGUAGAGGUGAAAAUUUCGUAGAUAUUAGGAAGAACACCAGUGGCGAAGGCGGCUCACUGGUCCGGUACUGACGCUGAGGUGCGAAAGCGUGGGGAGCAAACAGG
rnacentral:rRNA from 1 species